rnacentral:rRNA from 1 species
UACGUAGGGUGCGAGCGUUAAUCGGAAUUACUGGGCGUAAAGCGUGCGCAGGCGGCCAUGCAAGACAGAUGUGAAAUCCCCGGGCUCAACCUGGGAACUGCAUUUGUGACUGCAUGGCUAGAGUACGGCAGAGGGGGAUGGAAUUCCGCGUGUAGCAGUGAAAUGCGUAGAUAUGCGGAGGAACACCGAUGGCGAAGGCAAUCCCCUGGGCCUGUACUGACACUGAGGGACGAAAGCUAGGGUAGCGAACGGG